rnacentral:rRNA from 1 species
AGCCAGCAGCCGCGGUAAUACAGAGGUCCCAAGCGUUGUUCGGAUUCACUGGGCGUAAAGGGUGCGUAGGUGGCCAGGUAAGUUUGGUGUGAAAGCUCGGAGCUUAACUUCGAAAAGGCAUUGAAUACUAUCUGGCUGGAGGGUCGGAGGGGAGACUGGAAUUCUCGGUGUAGCAGUGAAAUGCGUAGAUAUCGAGAGGAACACCGGUGGCGAAGGCGAGUCUCUGGACGACACCUGACACUGAGGCACGAAAGCUAGGGGAGCAAACAGGAUUAGAUACCCUGGUAGUCCUAGCUGUAAACGGUGCUUGCUUGCUGUGAGAGGAAUCGACCCCUUUCGUGGCGGAGCUAACGCGAUAAGCAAGCCGCCUGGGGAGUACGGUCGCAAGAUUAAAACUCAAAGGAAUUGACGGGGGCCCGCACAAGGC